GCCGGCCGCUGGCCGGCAGGUCCGGGUGCCGGCCAGCGGCCGGCACUACCAUCGUCGGGUCAGAUGUCGCGGUACUGGAUCUGCGCGGCCAGUAC
rnacentral:tRNA from 1 species